rnacentral:other from 1 species
AACAAGCUACGAUGUACGUAACCAUAACAAAGUUUUAACCUUUAUACUUAGCUAGGGAGUUUUAUAUAAAAGCAGGAAUGUCAUGCCUCCUAGAUUGAGGACGACAGGAAUGUUUUUGCGAACACCCACUUUCAGGAGUGGUGGUUUAAAACUUUCUUAUACUAAGUUACGGCAAUUGUGGCUUGUCC